rnacentral:rRNA from 1 species
GACGAACGCUGGCGGCGUGCUUAACACAUGCAAGUCGAACGGAAAGGCCCUGCUUUUGUGGGGUGCUCGAGUGGCGAACGGGUGAGUAACACGUGAGUAACCUGCCCUUGACUUUGGGAUGACUUCAGGAAACUGGGGCUAAUACCGGAUAGGAGCUCCUGCUGCAUGGUGGGGGUUGGAAAGUUUCGGCGGUUGGGGAUGGACUCGCGGCUUAUCAGCUUGUUGGUGGGGUAGUGGCUUACCAAGGCUUUGACGGGUAGCCGGCCUGAGAGGGUGACCGGCCACAUUGGGACUGAGAUACGGCCCAGACUCCUACGGGAGGCAGCAGUGGGGAAUAUUGCACAAUGGGCGGAAGCCUGAUGCAGCAACGCCGCGUGCGGGAUGACGGCCUUCGGGUUGUAAACCGCUUUCGCCUGUGACGAAGCGUGAGUGACGGUAAUGGGUAAAGAAGCACCGGCUAACUACGUGCCAGCAGCCGCGGUGAUACGUAGGGUGCGAGCGUUGUCCGGAUUUAUUGGGCGUAAAGGGCUCGUAGGUGGUUGAUCGCGUCGGAAGUGUAAUCUUGGGGCUUAACCCUGAGCGUGCUUUCGAUACGGGUUGACUUGAGGAAGGUAGGGGAGAAUGGAAUUCCUGGUGGAGCGGUGGAAUGCGCAGAUAUCAGGAGGAACACCAGUGGCGAAGGCGGUUCUCUGGGCCUUUCCUGACGCUGAGGAGCGAAAGCGUGGGGAGCGAACAGGCUUAGAUACCCUGGUAGUCCACGCUGUAAACGGUGGGUACUAGGUGUGGGGUCCAUUCCACGGGUUCCGUGCCGUAGCUAACGCUUUAAGUACCCCGCCUGGGGAGUACGGCCGCAAGGCUAAAACUCAAAGGAAUUGACGGGGCCCCGCACAAGCGGCGGAGCAUGCGGAUUAAUUCGAUGCAACGCGUAGAACCUUACCUGGGUUUGACAUGGAUCGGGAGUGCUCAGAGAUGGGUGUGCCUCUUUUGGGGUCGGUUCACAGGUGGUGCAUGGCUGUCGUCAGCUCGUGUCGUGAGAUGUUGGGUUAAGUCCCGCAACGAGCGCAACCCUUGUUCACUGUUGCCAGCACGUUAUGGUGGGGACUCAGUGGAGACCGCCGGGGUCAACUCGGAGGAAGGUGGGGAUGACGUCAAGUCAUCAUGCCCCUUAUGUCCAGGGCUUCACGCAUGCUACAAUGGCUGGUACAGAGAGUGGCGAGCCUGUGAGGGUGAGCGAAUCUCGGAAAGCCGGUCUCAGUUCGGAUUGGGGUCUGCAACUCGACCUCAUGAAGUCGGAGUCGCUAGUAAUCGCAGAUCAGCAACGCUGCGGUGAAUACGUUCCCGGG